rnacentral:rRNA from 1 species
UACAGAGGUCCCAAGCGUUGUUCGGAUUAAUUGGGCGUAAAGGGCGCGUAGGUGGUAGACUAAGUCAGAUGUGAAAUCCCAGGGCUCAACCCUGGAACUGCAUUCGAUACUGGCCUGCUAGAGUACUGUAGAGGGGAGUGGAAUUCGAGGUGUAGCGGUGAAAUGCGUAGAUAUCAUGAGGAAUACCAGUGGCGAAGGCGGCUCACUGGACAGUUACUGACACUGAGGCACGAAAGCUUGGGGAGCAAACGGG